rnacentral:misc_RNA from 1 species
GAACGCACCUUGCACCCUUUGGUAUUCCAAAGGGUACGCCCGUUUGAGUGUCAUUGUAAUCUCACAUUUCGACUUUAUUGUCAAAUGUGGACUUGGAUGUUGCCGUUGUAUCUGACGGCUCGUCUUAAAUGUCUGAGUGUACCCUGCUUUGCAGCGUAUCAGGUGUAAUAAACAUUUCACCCGAGUUGGUCGCAAGACCGCGCUUUGAUAGUAUGGCUCUAUGCUUUCAAACCGUCCUCAUGGACAAAUUUCUGACAAUUUGACCUCAAAUCGGGUGGGACUACCCGCUGAACUUAAG